GUCAAUUUUCGGCAAUUUCUUUUGUCCGUGUAAAAUCAUAAAUCGAAGCUAAGGGGUAAUAAUUUUAUAAAUUACAAAUUAUGGCCUAGAAUAAUUGUUGAUAAUGUGAGGAAUUGUUUUGGGCCAUUUGAAGGUAAUUAAAAAAAUUUCUAUCGCCGAUAAUUUCAGUUUUUAACGAAAACGAUCGGCGAAACUUUUGAAGAUAUAGACAGGAAUAAUUUUGCCUUAAACUAGAAUUUAAAUGCUAAAUGAUGAUAUAAAGAGUUCCUAAAUGUGAUAUCAUAUGAUAGGGCAAUAAAAUGUUACAAGAUAAUUAAUUUAUUUAAAAACUAACUAAAUAAUUAAAUAAUGAUUAGAAUUCUCUAGAGAAUUCUUUUGUCUAUCAUCAACUCCAAACCCCCCCUCAUUUCAGCCACAAGCACGUCCUCCCCCUCUCCAUGGAAGACCAAAAGCUUAAGCUUUUUAAUUUCCGAAUAUUUGUCAUUUAAUCGGUAAAUCGAUCGGGUAAUCUUGUAUCCGCCAGCAAAUCGAGCGAAGGAGCAUAUAGUGCGUUUUGAUCACAAAGGAGUGGAUUUAGAGGGUAGAGAAGUAUCAAGGUGAAAUAGGCUUAUGUUCAUAAGCCUGCGAGGUUAGAGUCGACAUUAUGUCAGUGGUGUUGCGCAGCUUUGCAUCUUUGGCGAGUCACUGGUGGUCAACUUGGUUUAGUAGUCGUGGCAUGUUAUGUAAUAGUUUAAUCUUUAACCUUCCGUUGGAUAAAUGUUAAGUUUUUAAAUGUAAUAGAUUUUAAUUAUGCUUUUAAGCUAAAAAGAAAAAGGAAAAAUUUCAGCACGGGUUUUCGAUACUGAAACGUGACAUCACUUAUUCGGUUGGUUACCUACCGGGUAAGGGGUGUUACAAGUUUUGGUAUCAGAGCCUAGGUUUAGGCGGUUCUGGAAAGAAGUGAUUCAGUAAAGUGGUUUACUGGUUUAAUUGUCUGUUAGUACCAGUGACUCGAUGCAGCUGCUUAUGUCUAAAGUGGAAAGAAGUUAACAAGGUACGGGACAUAGUUUCCCGUGUGACCGAGAAAGAUGUUAUAUGGGACUGGCCACCCCAUAUAGCUCUAAUCUCGGUAGCGUCGGUAUGUGUAAAAGAUUUUAAAAAAAAAAUUCAGGGAGGAUGGGUCUGAAAAUGUUGAUGAAAAGUAUGUCCUAAUGAAAGAUACUAAUAAAUAUAUGCAGAUUAUGAAAGAGUAUAAGUAAAAGAGAAGAAAAUGAGUUAAAGGAAUGAUAUGGAAAGAAAGUAAGUUAUAGACUAAGUGACCAUCAUGAUAUAAAAGUGUAACACGAAAAUUCACAAAGGUAUGUGGAUUGUCUGAUAUAAGAUGGAUUAAGAGUCAUAAAGUAAUAUCCUAUAAUGAUAAACAAAAGUAUAGAAAUAUGUGAAAGGAAAUGUGUUUGGCAAAAUGAUAAAUAUUGAUAUGAAAACAUAUGAAACUAUAAGGCAUUAUAUGAAUAAAACCAUAAAUGUGCGAAUGAGAAAAUGCGACGAAUAAGAAAUAAAUGAUAUGAUCUGAACAUGUGUGCCCCUAUAUGGAUUACAUGUGUACUUCGAAUCGGGCAAUAUGAGAUAUGACGUGAUGUGAUGGAAAUAUGAACUGAAUAAUCGUGCAAGACAAUAAAUUAUAUGAUUGGAAAUGUGAACUCCGUGAGAAUUAUGUGUGCGCUCGAAUACGAGCUAUAUAAAUGUUAGAACCGAAUGAUGAUUCAGAAAUGAAAUGGAAAAUGGGAAUGUAUGCUCUAAGCGAGCUGUAUAGUAUAUGAUAAGAUAUGUCUAAAAAUAUGAGUUUGAAAUUGAGCUAUAUGAUAUAAAAUGGUAUUCUGGUUGAAAGUGUUGUCUGUGAUCUGUAAAUGUGUUAGUUAUGGAUAAGAAUGAGUUUUGAAAAUAAAUAUGGUUGUUGAUGAAUACUGACUUGAUAUUUGAAUUAUGUUGUGAUUUGGUGGUUUGAUUUGAUAAUCUGUGAUUAACAUUGUAUCUUGUUGGUUUUGGGGAAGCACUGGUUAUAGAGAAAACGCUGCCCAAUUUUUGCUAGAAAUUGAUCAGAUAAAUUAAUACGAAGUUGUGGUAAAUAAACUGAUAAGUGAUAAUACAUGAAGAGAAUGAUGUUACAUGAUGACUUAAGAAAUGAAAAAGGGAAAAGAUAAGAAGUGUUGUGAAUGAUAAUAAAGGAAAACGUAAUGAAAUGAUGAUAUGUGGAAAGUGAAAUGCACCCUUCGUCGGCUAUAAGUGCCCGAAUAGGGACUAUGCAAUUGGGACUAUACAAUAUAUGAUGAGUAUGUGAAUUAUACAUAUGCGUGAUGAAUAUGAUAUGUGCGCCUCAUGUGGACAAAGAAAAGAUGCAAAUAACAUGGAAAUUACUAUGUAAAGAAAUGAUAAUGUGACAAAUGUGCUUGAAAUAUAUUAGAGAUAAUGAUAAUAUUAUUAUGUGAUCGCAAAAUGUGGCUAUGUGUUAAGAUGUGAUUAUGUGAUUUUGUAUGUCAUUCUGUGUUUGGUUAUGGAAGUGUGGAUACGCUAUGUAGAUGAGGAUAUAGGAUGUCGUGGAAUGGCAUACGUAUAUGCGACGCUUAUAGGAAUGAUGUAAACCCGAGGGAAUUUCGAGGACGAAAUUCCUUUUAGGGGGGAUGAGUUGUAACAUCCCGAAUUAUAGGCACCAAUAAAAGGUUUGGAUAUAUGGUGAGGAAUAGUAGUUAAGUUAAACCGUAAGGUAUAAAUUUGAUACGAAAUGCCGAUUAGUCAAUUUUCGGCAAUUUCUUUUGUCCGUGUAAAAUCAUAAAUCGAAGCUAAGGGGUAAUAAUUUUAUAAAUUACAAAUUAUGGCCUAGAAUAAUUGUUGAUAAUGUGAGGAAUUGUUUUGGGCCAUUUGAAGGUAAUUAAAAAAUUUCUAUCGCCGAUAAUUUCAGUUUUUAACGAAAACGAUCGGCGAAACUUUUGAAGAUAUAGACAGGAAUAAUUUUGCCUUAAACUAGAAUUUAAAUGCUAAAUGAUGAUAUAAAGAGUUCCUAAAUGUGAUAUCAUAUGAUAGGGCAAUAAAAUGUUACAAGAUAAUUAAUUUAUUUAAAAACUAACUAAAUAAUUAAAUAAUGAUUAGAAUUCUCUAGAGAAUUCUUUUGUCUAUCAUCAACUCCAAACCCCCCCUCAUUUCAGCCACAAGCACGUCCUCCCCCUCUCCAUGGAAGACCAAAAGCUUAAGCUUUUUAAUUUCCGAAUAUUUGUCAUUUAAUCGGUAAAUCGAUCGGGUAAUCUUGUAUCCGCCAGCAAAUCGAGCGAAGGAGCAUAUAGUGCGUUUUGAUCACAAAGGAGUGGAUUUAGAGGGUAGAGAAGUAUCAAGGUGAAAUAGGCUUAUGUUCAUAAGCCUGCGAGGUUAGAGUCGACAUUAUGUCAGUGGUGUUGCGCAGCUUUGCAUCUUUGGCGAGUCACUGGUGGUCAACUUGGUUUAGUAGUCGUGGCAUGUUAUGUAAUAGUUUAAUCUUUAACCUUCCGCUGGAUAAAUGUUAAGUUUUUAAAUGUAAUAGAUUUUAAUUAUGCUUUUAAGCUAAAAAGAAAAAGGAAAAAUUUCAGCACGGGUUUUCGAUACUGAAACGUGACAUCACUUAUUCGGUUGGUUACCUACCGGGUAAGGGGUGUUACAAGUUUUGGUAUCAGAGCCUAGGUUUAGGCGGUUCUGGAAAGAAGUGAUUCAGUAAAGUGGUUUACUGGUUUAAUUGUCUGUUAGUACCAGUGACUCGAUGCAGCUGCUUAUGUCUAAAGUGGAAAGAAGUUAACAAGGUACGGGACAUAGUUUCCCGUGUGACCGAGAAAGAUGUUAUAUGGGACUGGCCACCCCAUAUAGCUCUAAUCUCGGUAGCGUCGGUAUGUGUAAAAGAUUUUAAAAAAAAAAUUCAGGGAGGAUGGGUCUGAAAAUGUUGAUGAAAAGUAUGUCCUAAUGAAAGAUACUAAUAAAUAUAUGCAGAUUAUGAAAGAGUAUAAGUAAAAGAGAAGAAAAUGAGUUAAAGGAAUGAUAUGGAAAGAAAGUAAGUUAUAGACUAAGUGACCAUCAUGAUAUAAAAGUGUAACACGAAAAUUCACAAAGGUAUGUGGAUUGUCUGAUAUAAGAUGGAUUAAGAGUCAUAAAGUAAUAUCCUAUAAUGAUAAACAAAAGUAUAGAAAUAUGUGAAAGGAAAUGUGUUUGGCAAAAUGAUAAAUAUUGAUAUGAAAACAUAUGAAACUAUAAGGCAUUAUAUGAAUAAAACCAUAAAUGUGCGAAUGAGAAAAUGCGACGAAUAAGAAAUAAAUGAUAUGAUCUGAACAUGUGUGCCCCUAUAUGGAUUACAUGUGUACUUCGAAUCGGGCAAUAUGAGAUAUGACGUGAUGUGAUGGAAAUAUGAACUGAAUAAUCGUGCAAGACAAUAAAUUAUAUGAUUGGAAAUGUGAACUCCGUGAGAAUUAUGUGUGCGCUCGAAUACGAGCUAUAUAAAUGUUAGAACCGAAUGAUGAUUCAGAAAUGAAAUGGAAAAUGGGAAUGUAUGCUCUAAGCGAGCUGUAUAGUAUAUGAUAAGAUAUGUCUAAAAAUAUGAGUUUGAAAUUGAGCUAUAUGAUAUAAAAUGGUAUUCUGGUUGAAAGUGUUGUCUGUGAUCUGUAAAUGUGUUAGUUAUGGAUAAGAAUGAGUUUUGAAAAUAAAUAUGGUUGUUGAUGAAUACUGACUUGAUAUUUGAAUUAUGUUGUGAUUUGGUGGUUUGAUUUGAUAAUCUGUGAUUAACAUUGUAUCUUGUUGGUUUUGGGGAAGCACUGGUUAUAGAGAAAACGCUGCCCAAUUUUUGCUAGAAAUUGAUCAGAUAAAUUAAUACGAAGUUGUGGUAAAUAAACUGAUAAGUGAUAAUACAUGAAGAGAAUGAUGUUACAUGAUGACUUAAGAAAUGAAAAAGGGAAAAGAUAAGAAGUGUUGUGAAUGAUAAUAAAGGAAAACGUAAUGAAAUGAUGAUAUGUGGAAAGUGAAAUGCACCCUUCGUCGGCUAUAAGUGCCCGAAUAGGGACUAUGCAAUUGGGACUAUACAAUAUAUGAUGAGUAUGUGAAUUAUACAUAUGCGUGAUGAAUAUGAUAUGUGCGCCUCAUGUGGACAAAGAAAAGAUGCAAAUAACAUGGAAAUUACUAUGUAAAGAAAUGAUAAUGUGACAAAUGUGCUUGAAAUAUAUUAGAGAUAAUGAUAAUAUUAUUAUGUGAUCGCAAAAUGUGGCUAUGUGUUAAGAUGUGAUUAUGUGAUUUUGUAUGUCAUUCUGUGUUUGGUUAUGGAAGUGUGGAUACGCUAUGUAGAUGAGGAUAUAGGAUGUCGUGGAAUGGCAUACGUAUAUGCGACGCUUAUAGGAAUGAUGUAAACCCGAGGGAAUUUCGAGGACGAAAUUCCUUUUAGGGGGGAUGAGUUGUAACAUCCCGAAUUAUAGGCACCAAUAAAAGGUUUGGAUAUAUGGUGAGGAAUAGUAGUUAAGUUAAACCGUAAGGUAUAAAUUUGAUACGAAAUGCCGAUUAGUCAAUUUUCGGCAAUUUCUUUUGUCCGUGUAAAAUCAUAAAUCGAAGCUAAGGGGUAAUAAUUUUAUAAAUUACAAAUUAUGGCCUAGAAUAAUUGUUGAUAAUGUGAGGAAUUGUUUUGGGCCAUUUGAAGGUAAUUAAAAAAAUUUCUAUCGCCGAUAAUUUCAGUUUUUAACGAAAACGAUCGGCGAAACUUUUGAAGAUAUAGACAGGAAUAAUUUUGCCUUAAACUAGAAUUUAAAUGCUAAAUGAUGAUAUAAAGAGUUCCUAAAUGUGAUAUCAUAUGAUAGGGCAAUAAAAUGUUACAAGAUAAUUAAUUUAUUUAAAAACUAACUAAAUAAUUAAAUAAUGAUUAGAAUUCUCUAGAGAAUUCUUUUGUCUAUCAUCAACUCCAAACCCCCCCUCAUUUCAGCCACAAGCACGUCCUCCCCCUCUCCAUGGAAGACCAAAAGCUUAAGCUUUUUAAUUUCCGAAUAUUUGUCAUUUAAUCGGUAAAUCGAUCGGGUAAUCUUGUAUCCGCCAGCAAAUCGAGCGAAGGAGCAUAUAGUGCGUUUUGAUCACAAAGGAGUGGAUUUAGAGGGUAGAGAAGUAUCAAGGUGAAAUAGGCUUAUGUUCAUAAGCCUGCGAGGUUAGAGUCGACAUUAUGUCAGUGGUGUUGCGCAGCUUUGCAUCUUUGGCGAGUCACUGGUGGUCAACUUGGUUUAGUAGUCGUGGCAUGUUAUGUAAUAGUUUAAUCUUUAACCUUCCGCUGGAUAAAUGUUAAGUUUUUAAAUGUAAUAGAUUUUAAUUAUGCUUUUAAGCUAAAAAGAAAAAGGAAAAAUUUCAGCA